rnacentral:misc_RNA from 1 species
UUGAAUAAACCUGGCGUGGUUGUAGCUGGUCCUCUCGGGGACAUGUGCUCGCCCGUCAUCUUUAUAUCUCCACCUGUGCACCCUUUGUAGACCUGGACGAUAACUUUCCGAGGCAACUCGGUCGGGAGGACUGCUGGCUUUCACGAGUCGGCUUUCCUUGUAUUAUCCAGGCCUAUGUCUUACACAUACCCCAAAGAAUGUAACAGAAUGUAUUGUAUAUGGCCUAGUGCCUAUAAACUAUAUA